AUCCCUGUGGAACGCUUUCAACUCCUUGUAGAGUUCAUGCCCUGAGAAUUUAGGCUGUUCUGAGGGCAAAAGGAGGUGCAACUCAAUAUUAGUAAGGUGUUCUUAAUGUUUUGUAUACUCAGUGUGUACUAUAAUGCAUUGUGCCUCUCAAGGGGGUGGAAACUGAGGCUAGACUGGGCCUGACUGAAGGCUGGCUGGCCUGAUGCAUUAUGACCUGAAGCUCACAGGCAUUUACAAUGCCCUCCACCAAUCCCCUGGCCUGUUACUGUUAGGUUGAAUGCCCUCCACCAAUCCCCUGGCCUGUUACUGUUAGGUUGAAUGCCCUCCACCAAUCCCCUGGCCUGUUACUGUUAGGUUGAAUGCCCUCCACCAAUCCCCUGGCCUGUUACUGUUAGGUUGAAUGCCCUCCACCAAUCCCCUGGCCUGUUACUGUUAGGUUGAAUGCCCUCCACCAAUCCCCUGGCCUGUUACUGUUAGGUUGAAUGCCCUCCACCAAUCCCCUGGCCUGUUACUGUUAGGUUGAAUGCCCUCCACCAAUCCCCUGGCCUGUUACUGUUAGGUUGAAUGCCCUCCACCAAUCCCCUGGACUGUUACUGUUAGGUUGAAUGCCCUCCACCAAUCCCCUGGACUGUUACUGUUAGGUUGAAUGCCCUCCACCAAUCCCCUGAACUGUUACUGUUAGGUUGAAUGACUAACGAUGAACCCUACCUACAGUGAUUUGCUCUGACAGCAUUUUCUAUGUUAAUUUGACUAAUGAGUAACAUUUAAGUAUUUUUUUAGAGAUACUCAUGUCAACAAAUGAAUUUAGUUUAUUUUACAGGGAGAGGUGUAUGAACAGGGGAUGGACACUAUGAGGAAAUGGGAGGGGAGAGGAGGGGAGAGAUGAUGUCAAAUAGUUUUAUAUCCUGAAUGAUGAACCAUGUCUCUGACAUGUUGUAUUUUAUUGGAGCUGUGGAUGUGGCUAGCUCUGGUCCAGGGGGUUAGUGCAUUCCUCGCUGACGCCCUGGACCAGAGCUAGUUGUGGUUAACUGUGGUAGAGAGAAAUAUAAUUUUAAAAUGCUGUAAUUUCAAGUAAAUAAGAAAAGAAACCCAAGACCUUACUUUAAAGACAAGAUCAAAGCUGCUCUCCCUAAUGAGGAGUUGUACAUAUAAAUGUAUUUGAACAAAGUAUUAUUUGCAAUAUUAUAAUGUACAGAAUUGUAUUUAUAAUGUAUCUCAACAAACUGUUUUAAUUGGUACAAAGAUGUUCUAGAAUACAGAACGUUUACGAUCUAAA